rnacentral:rRNA from 1 species
UACGUAGGGGGCAAGCGUUGUCCGGAAUUAUUGGGCGUAAAGCGCGUGUAGGCGGCCCGGUAAGUCCGCUGUGAAAGUCCAGGGCUCAACCCUGGGAUGCCGGUGGAUACUGUCGGGCUCGAGUCCGGAAGAGGCGAGUGGAAUUCCUGGUGUAGCGGUGAAAUGCGCAGAUAUCGGGAGGAACACCUAUGGCGAAGGCAGCUCGCUGGGACGUUACUGACGCUGAGACGCGAAAGCGUGGGGAGCAAACAGG